rnacentral:rRNA from 1 species
CCCUUAGAUGUUCUGGGCUGCACGCGCGCUACACUGAAGCUAUCAACACGUUUUCCCUCCCUGAGAAGGGCGGGUAACCUUUUGAAUCAGCUUCGUGGUAGGGAUCGGGGCUUGCAAUUGUUCCCCGUGAACCAGGAAUUCCUAGUAGACGCGAGUCAUAAGCUCGCAUCGAUUAAGUCCCUGCCCUUUGUACACACCGCCCGUCGCUACUACCGAUUGAACGUUUUAGUGAGGCAUUUGGACCGACGCGUCUCAGUUUAACCGCUGGUUUGUGUUGGAAAGACUUCCAAACUUGAGCGUUUAGAGGAAGUAAAAGUCGUAACA